rfam:Thermotalea metallivorans strain B2-1 AN619_contig000034, whole genome shotgun sequence.
UGGAUAGCAUCGAAAGAGCUAUACCCCUAAGGGGAUUAUUGAAAUUGAAAAGAAAUCUGCUCUGAGCCGACGGGACCGAGACAGAAAA